rnacentral:lncRNA from 1 species
CCUAGAUGUAAAUGACUCUGGAGAUUUCAGAAGAAUUUGUAGUUUACAAGCUCACCUUGUUUUGUUCCUGAAGGAAAAUAAUGAAUGAAGGUCUUCAAUGAGCUGAAAUAAUCUUGCAUAGUUUAGUUCCAUGCAAAAUGUCUGAUAUGGGAUUCGAACUAGCCCGUUGAGUUGCACAGUUUCUUCAUGAUGAAUGCAUCAUGCAGGAAUAACUAUUGAACUUGAAUGC